rnacentral:lncRNA from 1 species
GCUUUCAUUCUUUCACCAGAAAUGCCAGAAGUCAAGUGCAGCACCUCUUCUCAAGUCUAUUGCCUCGGGAUGGGGAGGCUGAAUUGGUAAUGUGGCGAUCUGUGCUGACUUAAGCAGGCUCCUGUAGCUACUUUUCCUGGCUCUCUGUGCCCACUGUCUCUAGAGGCUCCCAAUGUGCAAGGACAAAGGAAACCUGGCUUUCAGAGUACACAGUGGUAUGUAUAGACUCCUCCACGUAUGCAGUCCUGGGAAAUGAUGCAUCAAACAACACCUUCUGCAGUGCUGAUAUUUCUACUUCAGCCAGUGCUGUCUACCUGAUUGCUCUCCACCACCUCAAGACUCUUCAUCUGGAGGCAGAAUCCUCUGGAUGGCAGAACUUUGUCUUUACCUAUGGAGAAGUCAUUCCUCUUCCUUCUAUGUUGUUUUGUCUACAACAUCAGCUCAAAUUCAUGUUUUUCAUGAUAUUCAAGAAGCUCACAGGCAGAACUUUCCUACCUACAGAGCACUAAGUUGUACAUAUUGAUCCUACUUUCUGCUUAACGAUGGAGAACUACCUCGAACAAUCUGGAAGUGGCUAUACUGUAGCUUAAUGCUGAAGGUUGAAAGUGCUGUAAAGGUGUCACAGAAGAGUAAUAUUAUUGCCUAACUGUAAACAACAGAGCUUAAAAGACACUAUAAUUUUCUUCUCAUAAAGCACAUUUAAUUGUAGUUUUAUUGUACCUUCAGUGUUUAUUAAGGCAAUAAUGCAAUUAUUAAUUAUUUAAGCAUGACUUUAUAAUAAAAGCUGCAAUAUCAGGUGUCCUGCCA